UUGCAAAUGUGAAAAAUGUGGUUUUUGAUAGGAAAACAUACAGGCCACAUAUUUCACAUUAGAAGAAAAUUUUACAUUCGCAAACAAUUUAAGAAAAGUUGACAGUGGAAUUGGGCUAUAAAAGGGCUAUAAUCGUAAUUUCAGUCGACAACCCUUUCACUGCGAACUCCAUACCUGACUCCAGUAAAAAUAAACAAACACGCUCAGUACCUUUGUAGACAUUAUGAUUGUUAACACAGGCAGGAGUUACAUUAGACUUACACAGAAGCACCCUGAAAUAUAAAGAGAUAUCGGUACCACCAGAUUUAUGUAUUUAGAGGCACAAGACCGCAACAUUACGUCAUUCUCGAGCCACAAGGCCAGUGAUCUGGAAGCAUAUAGCUUUGCCAUUAUAAUCUUCAGACGAUAUCCAGCAAAUCUACAACUAGAUCACCGCGGGACAAUAAUCUGGUUUAUCGAGGAACAACAAUAAACAAUAUGCAGGUGGACUUGAUACGGAAAUUUAAAAACCGAAUUUGUAUACCAUACAGGUGUAUACCUAGCUCUUAUUAUUAUGGAUUGAAAUCCAUGCUCUUAAAAUCGACUUUUUCGAUAUUAUAUAAAUGGAAAGAGAUAUUGACGAAAAAUGAUUAUCUUGGUCCGCUUAUAGUACUUUUGACGAUUUAGAAAUCGUCCCGUUCCAAUAAACAGUAGUCAGUCAUGCAGACGGACAUGGCUAGAUCGACUUAGCUAUUGAUGGUUCAGCGUUUAGAAAUAUUUAUAACACAUACAAAAAAUGUGUGAUCCGACAAUUGUAUAGGCCAAAAUUUGAUGUGGUCUUCAUAACAUUUUUAAUAUCCAAAUAUGAUGCUAUUCUAUAUUGAUCGUCAGUAUUCUACCUGUAUUGCAAAUCAAAAAUCUCUUUUUUCGAAUUAACAACAGACGGUAUACUAAUACAAUAAAAUAAUUAAUCAUGAA